GACCCAGACUCCUACGGGAGGCAGCAGUGGGGAAUAUUGCACAAUGGGGGAAACCCUGAUGCAGCAACGCCGCGUGAGUGAAGAAGUAUUUCGGUAUGUAAAGCUCUAUCAGCAGGGAAGAAGAUGACGGUACCUGAUUAAGAAGCCCCGGCUAACUACGUGCCAGCAGCCGCGGUAAUACGUAGGGGGCAAGCGUUAUCCGGAUUUACUGGGUGUAAAGGGAGCGCAGACGGCAGUGCAAGUCCGGAGUGAAAGCCCGGGGCUCAACCCUGGGACUGCUCUGGAAACUGUAAAGCUGGAGUGCGGGAGGGGCAGGCGGAAUUCCUGGUGUAGCGGUGAAAUGCGUAGAUAUCAGGAGGAACACCGGCGGCGAAGGCGGCCUGCUGGACCGUGACUGACGUUGAGGCUCGAGAGCGUGGGGAGCAAACAGGAUUAGAUACCCCUGUA
rnacentral:rRNA from 1 species